GUGCCAGCAGCCGUGGUAAUACCGGCAGCCCGAGUGAUGGCCGAUCUUAUUGGGCCUAAAGCGUCCGUCGAUGGCUGCGCAAGUCCGUCGGGAAAUCCACUCGCCCAACGAGUGGGCGUCCGACGGAAACUGCACAGCUUGGGAACGGAAGGCUCGAAGGGUACGUUAGGGGUAGGAGUGAAAUCCCAUAAUCCCGCACGGACCACCGAUGGCGAAAGCACUUCGAGAAAACGGAUCCGACAGUGAGGGACGAAAGCCAGGGUCUCCAACCGGAUUAGAAACCCCUGUAGUCC
rnacentral:rRNA from 1 species